UACAGAGGUGGCAAGCGUUGUUCGGAAUUACUGGGCGUAAAGGGCGCGUAGGCGGCUUGGUCAGUCCCGUGUGAAAUCCCUCGGCUCAACUGAGGAACUGCACGGGAAACUGCCUGGCUUGAGUUCGGGAGAGGGAAGCGGAAUUCCGGGUGUAGCGGUGAAAUGCGUAGAUAUCCGGAGGAACACCGGUGGCGAAGGCGGCUUCCUGGACCGACACUGACGCUGAGGCGCGAAAGUGUGGGGAGCGAACAGG
rnacentral:rRNA from 1 species